AUUGAACGCUGGCGGCAGGCCUAACAAAUGCAAGUCGAGCGAGCGGCGGACGGGUGAGUAAUGUCUGGGAAACUGUCUGAUGGAGGGGGAUAACUACUGGAAACGGUAGCUAAUACCGCAUACCAUCAGAGGUGCCCAGAUGGGAUUAGCUAGUAGGUGGUGUAACGGCUCACCUGGGCGACGAUCCCGAGCUGGUCUGAGAGGAUGAACAGCAACACUGGAACGGAGCCACGGCCCAGACUCCUACGGGAGGCAGCAGUGGGGAAUAUGGCACAAUGGGCGCAAGCCUGAUGCAGCCAUGCCGCGUGUGUGAAGAAGGCCUUCGGGUUGUAAAGCACUUUCAGCGGGGAGGCGUUACCCGCAGAAGAAGCACCGGCUAACUCCGUGCCAGCCGCCGCGGUAAUAC
rnacentral:rRNA from 1 species